ACGCUCGACACCUACGGGAGCAGCAGUGGGGAAUAUUGCACAAUGGGGGAAACCCUGAUGCAGCGACGCCGCGUGAGCGAAGAAGUAUUUCGGUAUGUAAAGCUCUAUCAGCAGGGAAGAUCAUGACGGUACCUGACUAAGAAGCUCCGGCUAAAUACGUGUCAGCAGCCGCGGUAAUCUGAGCGGGCUGGCAAGGC
rnacentral:rRNA from 1 species